UACGAAGGGGGCUAGCGUUGCUCGGAAUGACUGGGCGUAAAGGGCGCGUAGGCGGUUUGCACAGUCAGACGUGAAAUUCCUGGGCUCAACCUGGGGGCUGCAUUUGAUACGUGUAGACUUGAGUGGGGAAGAGGGUCGUGGAAUUCCCAGUGUAGAGGUGAAAUUCGUAGAUAUUGGGAAGAACACCGGUGGCGAAGGCGGCGACCUGGUCCUUGACUGACGCUGAGGCGCGAAAGCGUGGGGAGCAAACAGG
rnacentral:rRNA from 1 species